UACGAAGGGGGCUAGCGUUGCUCGGAAUCACUGGGCGUAAAGGGCGCGUAGGCGGGAUGGCAAGUCAGUCGUGAAAUCUCUCGGCUCAACCGAGAAACGUCGGCUGAUACUGCCGUUCUUGAGGGAUGCAGAGGAGACUGGAAUUCCCGGUGUAGCGGUGAAAUGUGUAGAGAUCGGGAGGAACACCGGUGGCGAAGGCGGGUCUCUGGGCAUCUCCUGACGCCGAGGCGCGAAAGCGUGGGGAGCAAACGGG
rnacentral:rRNA from 1 species